UGAUYUGCUCCMUGAUUGAGAAAUUAAAUAGCUGCAGAAUCCUAACUGUACAAAGGUAGNNNNNNNNNNNGUUUUUUAAUUGAAAGCUGGAAUGAAAGAUUUGAUAAGGUAAUUWUUGUCUCAAAUUUAAUGAAAUUAUAAUUUUUUUUUUAGUAAAAAUACUAAAUUGGAUUUAAAAGACGAGAAGACCCUAUAGAUUUUUAUAUUUUAAAUUUAAUUAAUUUAAAUUUUGAAAGUGUAAUUUAAUUAAAAAAUAUUAGGUUGGGGAAAUUAUUAAAUUAAUUAAAUUUUAAUUUUUUUUUUACAAAAAUUAUUGAUUUUUUUUUUUGAUCUUAAAAUUUUAAAUUAUUAGAAUAAACUACCUUAGGGAUAACAGCGUAAUUUUUUUUGAGAGAUCUUAUUGAUAAAAAAGUUUGCGACCUCGAUGUUGAAUUAAGAUUAAAUUUUAAUGUAGAAGUWAAAA
rnacentral:rRNA from 1 species